UCGAUCUUUCCAUAUUCCAUAAAAAAAGUAAUUGACCCAUGGCUUUGACUCACCAAAUGAUAGGCUGGAGGUCAUGCCGUCAUGGGCUCAUGGCGGCGCGUCUAGAAGAGACUCCGUCGCGGCGGCUGCCCGCGAGGUGGAAACGGGAUAUUUUAGCAGCAGGAUAUAUGAGCCAUCCGAUCUACUUCCUGGCAUGAAAAUCUGAGCUGACAGCCGAGCAUCGUGGCGGUUCUGUCUCCGCGUACAGCAUGGAUUGAAAUGUUCUUUACGAGGGAGAAGAAGACGAUUUUUUAUUGAAAGCUUCUUCGGCUCUUCUUCUUCCCACAGGCCGGUUACUUGCCAGUUCUGCUGAGACGACCUUCAGACUACUACUAGUAGUAGUGCAUUUUGUCAAUGCGGAGAUUGGAUGGACUUUUAUGGACCUUUGCUUGCAUUGAGCAUUCUUUCUGUCAUUUCCUACGUGUCACUUUCGCAUAUCCAAUAGCAAUAGGAACCUACGUACGCAUGUCCCUUUUAUAAUAAAUCUAAAUAGGUGUCGACUCAAUUGAUUUGAUUGAUUGAUAUCACGCCUAACUACUAGCUAGUACCUAUUGUUACAAAAUGUUUCACAUGUGA
rnacentral:lncRNA from 7 species